rnacentral:rRNA from 1 species
GAGUUUGAUCAUGGCUCAGGAUGAACGCUGGCGGCGUGCCUAAUACAUGCAAGUCGAGCGAACAGACGAGGAGCUUGCUCCUCUGACGUUAGCGGCGGACGGGUGAGUAACACGUGGAUAACCUACCUAUAAGACUGGGAUAACUUCGGGAAACCGGAGCUAAUACCGAAUAAUAUAUUGAACCGCAUGGUUCAAUAGUGAAAAACGGUUUUGCUGUCACUUAUAGAUGGAUCCGCGCCGCAUUAGCUAGUUGGUAGGGUAACGGCUUACCAAGGCGACGAUGCGUAGCCGACCUGAGAGGGUGAUCGGCCACACUGGAACUGAGACACGGUCCAGACUCCUACGGGAGGCAGCAGUAGGGAAUCUUCCGCAAUGGGCGAAAGCCUGACGGAGCAACGCCGCGUGAGUGAUGAAGGUCUUCGGAUCGUAAAACUCUGUUAUUAGGGAAGAACAAAUAGUGUAAGUAACUAUGCACGUCUUGACGGUA